CUGGGCCCUAAAGUGAUCAAGUCCAGCCACAUCCUGAUAUCCACUGUGAGCGAUGGGAUCAUCCUGAGCCAUGACGACAUUUAGCCCUUUUUGUUUGUCCACUCUCAGACACACAGUCGUCCAUCCAUGCGCGCUUACACGCAUGUGAAAGCAGAGGGCGAGGAAGCCCGUCCCCAGGAGGUCGCCCAGGGCGGUCAGGUACGGGAUGGAGAAGUUGUCUGGGUCCAUGCCCCGCCCCCACAUCCAGUGAACCAUCCAGUCUGCCAGGUAGAGGAGGAUCAUAACCUGGGAAGGUGAUGACGGUGCAAGUCCCAAACAAGCACCACACACAGGGGUUUCUUACCGCUGUGGAAAGUCUUGAGGCCAGCGUCAUCUCCAAGUUGCCUUUGAGCCCCAACAAUGCAGGAACCAGAAUGAACACCUCCGACACCUCGAUGAACACCGUCCAGUGCUGAAAUGACAGCAUCGUUUAAACCGUUAGAUCACAUAUGUUCAAAUGAGAACAUAAAGGCAAAUAGAAAGUACAAUACAACUUGGAUGAAGGAUA